UAUUCAAGUUAGACCAUUGUGUCUAUUCACUUUCAAAACCCUGGGAAAGCUGGUCCUGUCACAUUUCAGUGUGUUUAUGUUCUGUUUUGUGAUUUUGUUUCCCCCUGUCUUUUGUGGUUUUGGUUUAGUCCAGUUAGUGUUUCCCAGUCUGUUUAAUUAACAAUUCCCUUCACCUAUGUUCUGUUAAUUAUCCCAUUAGUCCCUGUUCAUUUAAGCCCUGUGUUUUCCCUCAGUGUUGGUUGGUCGUUGUCAAUUUAUGGUUGUGUGUGUGUUUGAAGUCCUGGAGAGGUUUCCUUUGUUUCUACUGCCCCAGUAUUGAGACGAUGUUAUGGAGGACCAAGGCAUACCCAAAGGGAAGGAGGAGCCUGCAGCUGUGGCAAAGGUGGUUUGACAACUGAACAAGGGGGAGCUGGUGGGACGAGGGAACCCGGUGAAGUCGAAAGCCCGAUGGUGUCUGGUGGAGCCAACGGUGGUUGAAGCCAUGGUGGAGCCUACAGGUCGAUGGGCCGAGAUGGAGCGAGACGAUCUGAGGCCGGAAGUAGAGCCACUGGAUCUAUUCUGCUCAGGCGCUGAUGGUGGCUGUAGGACCUGAGGCUCGACGUGAGUGCUUGGCAUAAGAGAUGGUGCAGGGCUGACAACCUCCAGCAGAGGCGGAGCUGGAGCAUUGAUAGCGUCCCUCCAGUAGCAGAGGUUUCUGGGAGGUCUCUAUGGGGUGAUGGUAAUUGUGCCCUGAUCCUGAACUGUGACUUCAAGGCAGCAGAAUUGUCUAGUGAAGGUUUAAAAAGUCCCGGCUCUCACAAGUCCAUUCCUUUUGGCCGGUUGUUCUGUCACUGAUUGAGGAUUGUGACAGUGAUAAGUUUAACAAAUGCAACUAAAUAAUGUUUUUUGGAAAUUAACUUUCCAAACUUUGUCAGUAAGUUUGGGUGAAGU